UGGCAAGGGAGAUUUAUUUUGUUUGCUGUUUGGUGGAAGCAGCGGUAAAAGGACAAAAGAGACACUUUGCACUGUUAACUAGACAAAAAGCAAACUAACAUCCAUCGUGUCGUUUUUCAUGUCGGAGUUGAGGCCUUUUUUUCUGACUGACGGCCGGAUUAACGCCGCCAUAACGGUGAUAACAUCGACUGUCUAGAUUUCGUCGACAACGUCGGAGGUGUAUUUUGGCGCCUCUUCUUGUGACUGGCAUAGUUUCGAUGAUAACAUCAACUGUUUGUGAUCUUGUGGUCAUGUCGUCUGCAUCGGAGGAGUAUUGGAGUCUUUUCCUGUGAUUGUCGUCGUAACAGCAGG